rnacentral:rRNA from 1 species
AUACGUAGGGGGCAAGCGUUAUCCGGAUUUACUGGGUGUAAAGGGAGCGUAGACGGAAGGCCAAGUCUGAUGUGAAAGCCCGCGGCUCAACUGCGGGACUGCAUUGGAAACUGGUCAUCUGGAGUGCAGGAGGGGUAAGCGGAAUUCCUAGUGUAGCGGUGAAAUGCGUAGAUAUAUGGAGGAACACCAGAGGCGAAGGCGGCUUACUAGAUCGAUACUGACGCUCAGUCACGAAAGCGUGGGUAGCAAAUAGGAUUAGAUACCCUAGUAGUCCACGCCGUAAACGAUGAGAACUAGGUGUGGGGCCAAACCCCGCGUCGAAGCUAACGCAUUAAGUUCUCCGCCUGGGGAGUACGUUCGCAAGAAUGAAACUUAAAGGAAUUGACGGGG